AUUGAACGCUGGCGGCACGCCUAACACAUGCAAGUCGAGCGGCAGCGCGAUAUGUAGCAAUACAUAUUGGCGGCGAGCGGCGGACGGGUGAGGAACGCGUAGGAACCUACCCUCGAGUGGGGGAUAACCAAGGGAAACUUUGGCUAAUACCGCAUGAUUUCGAGAGAGCAAAGCUGCCGCAAGGUGGCGCUCGAGGAGGGGCCUGCGUCCGAUUAGCUAGUUGGUGAGGUAAGAGCUCACCAAGGCGAUGAUCGGUAACUGGUCUGAGAGGACGACCAGUCACACUGGGACUGAGACACGGCCCAGACUCCUACGGGAGGCAGCAGUGGGGAAUAUUGGACAAUGGGGGCAACCCUGAUCCAGCGAUGCCGCGUGAGUGAAGAAGGCCUUCGGGUCGUAAAGCUCUUUAGGUUGGGAAGAAGAGUGAUGGAGGAAAUGCUAUCACUUUGACGUUACCGACAGAAUAAGCACCGGCUAACUUCGUGCCAGCCGCCGCAGUAAAAC
rnacentral:rRNA from 1 species